rnacentral:rRNA from 1 species
UACGAAGGGUGCAAGCGUUACUCGGAAUCACUGGGCGUAAAGCGUGCGUAGGCGGUUUCUUAAGUCUGUCGUGAAAGCCCUGGGCUCAACCUGGGAACGGCGAUGGAUACUGGGAAGCUAGAAUGUGAGAGAGGAUGGUGGAAUUCCUGGUGUAGCGGUGAAAUGCGCAGAUAUCAGGAGAACACCGAGUGGCGAAGGCAGGUCUCUGGCGGUG